rfam:Schistosoma margrebowiei strain Zambia genome assembly, scaffold: SMRZ_scaffold0000736
AUCCAGCUGACGAGUCCCCAAACAGGACGAAACGCACAUCCUGGAU